UAGGUGUAAAUAAGACUUCUAAUCUUUACCUAGCAUACUUGCUACACUUAAC
rnacentral:tRNA from 1 species